GCUCGAGUGGCGAACGGGUGAGUAACACGAGAGUAACCUGCCCUUGACUUUGGGAUAACUUCAGGAAACUGGGGCUAAUACCGGAUAGGAGCUCCUGCUGCAUGGUGGGGGUUGGAAAGUUUCGGCGGUUGGGGAUGGACUCGCGGCUUAUCAGCUUGUUGGUGGGGUAGUGGCUUACCAAGGCUUUGACGGGUAGCCGGCCUGAGAGGGUGACCGGCCACAUUGGGACUGAGAUACGGCCCAG
rnacentral:rRNA from 1 species